rnacentral:rRNA from 1 species
GAGGGGCUCGCGUCCCAUUAGCUAGUUGGUGAGGUAAUGGCUCACCAAGGCUUCGAUGGGUAGCCGGCCUGAGAGGGCGACCGGCCACAGUGGAACUGAGACACGGUCCACACUCCUACGGGAGGCAGCAGUGAGGAAUCUUGCGCAAUGGGCGAAAGCCUGACGCAGCGACGCCGCGUGGACGAUGAAGGCCUUCGGGUCGUAAAGUCCUGUCGGGUGGGAAGAAUUGGCUUGGGGCUAAUAUCUCCAGGCCUUGACGGUACCACCAGAGGAAGCCCCGGCUAACUCCGUGCCAGCAGCCGCGGUAAUACGGAGGGGGCCAGCGUUGCUCGGAAUUAUUGGGCGUAAAGGGCGCGUAGGCGGCCAGGUAAGUUUGAUGUGAAAUCCCACGGCUUAACCGUGGAAUUGCAUCUUAUACUGCCCGGCUAGAGUCUGGGAGAGGGAAGUGGAAUUCCCGGUGUAGCGGUGAAAUGCGUAGAUAUCGGGAGG